rnacentral:rRNA from 1 species
GACGAACGCUGGCGGCGUGCUUAACACAUGCAAGUCGAACGGAGAAUUUUGCUUCCGUAGAAUUCUUAGUGGCGAACGGGUGAGUAACGCGUAGACAACCUACCUCUCAGAUGGGGACAACAUCGCGAAAGCGGUGCUAAUACCGAAUGAUGUAACUUUUCUGCAUGGAAGAGUUACCAAAGGCGGCCUCUAUUUAUAAGCUGUCACUGAGAGAUGGGUCUGCGUAUGAUUAGCUAGUUGUCGGGGUAAUGGCCCACCAAGGCGACGAUCAGGAGCCGGUCUGGGAGGAGGAACGGCCACAUUGGGAAUGAGACACCGCCCAAACUCCUACGGGAGGCAGCAGUGGGGAAUCUUCCGCAAUGGACGAAAGUCUGACGGAGCAACGCCGCGUGAGUGAAGAAGGUUUUCGGAUCGUAAAGCUCUGUUGUUUGAGACGAACGUGCAAUUUUUGAAUAAGGAAUUGUAAUGACGGUAUUAAACUAGAAAGCCACGGCUAACUACGUGCCAGCAGCCGCCGUAA